AUUGAACGCUGGCGGAAUGCUUUACACAUGCAAGUCGAACGGUAACAGGUCUUCGGAUGCUGACGAGUGGCGAACGGGUGAGUAAUAUAUCGGAACGUGCCCAGUCGUGGGGGAUAACGUAGCGAAAGUUACGCUAAUACCGCAUACGAUCUAAGGAUGAAAGCGGGGGAUCGCAAGACCUCGCGCGAUUGGAGCGGCCGAUAUCAGAUUAGGUAGUUGGUGGGGUAAAGGCUCACCAAGCCAACGAUCUGUAGCUGGUCUGAGAGGACGACCAGCCACACUGGAACUGAGACACGGUCCAGACUCCUACGGGAGGCAGCAGUGGGGAAUUUUGGACAAUGGACGCAAGUCUGAUCCAGCCAUUCCGCGUGCAGGAUGAAGGCCCUCGGGUUGUAAACUGCUUUUGUACGGAACGAAAAGGUUUCUAUUAAUACUAGGAGCUCAUGACGGUACCGUAAGAAUAAGCACCGGCUAACUACGUG
rnacentral:rRNA from 1 species